rnacentral:rRNA from 1 species
CACGUAGUUAGCCGGUGCUUCUUAUUCCGGUACCGUCAUCCACACCAGGUAUUAACUGGCGCGAUUUCUUCCCGGCCGAAAGAGCUUUACAACCCGAAGGCCUUCUUCACUCACGCGGCAUGGCUGGAUCAGGGUUGCCCCCAUUGUCCAAAAUUCCCCA